GAUCAUGGCUCAGAUUGAACGCUGGCGGCAGGCUUAACACAUGCAAGUCGAACGGUAACAGGAGAAAGCUUGCUUUCUUGCUGACGAGUGGCGGACGGGUGAGUAAUGCUUGGGAAUCUGGCUUAUGGAGGGGGGAUAACGACGGGAAACUGUCGCUAAUACCGCGUAGAGUCGAGAGACGAAAGUGUGGGACCGCAAGGCCGCAUGCCAUAGGAUGAGCCCAAGUGGGAUUAGGUAG
rnacentral:rRNA from 1 species